UACGUAGGCAGCGAGCGUUGUUCGGAAUUACUGGGCGUAAAGAGUGUGUAGGCGGUGCUCUAAGUUCGGUGUGAAAUCUCCUGGCUCAACUGGGGAGGGUGCGCCGGAAACUGGAGUGCUUGAGCGUGGGAGAGGAAAGCGGAAUUCCUGGUGUAGCGGUGAAAUGCGUAGAUAUCAGGAGGAACACCUGUGGUGUAGACGGCUUUCUGGACCGUAGCUGACGCUGAGACACGAAAGCGUGGGUAGCAAACAGG
rnacentral:rRNA from 1 species